UACGGAGGGGGCUAGCGUUGUUCGGAAUUACUGGGCGUAAAGCGCGCGUAGGCGGACCUGCAAGUCGGGGGUGAAAGCCCGAGGCUCAACCUCGGAACUGCCUUCGAUACUGCGGGUCUCGAGUCCGGGAGAGGUGAGUGGAAUUCCUAGUGUAGAGGUGAAAUGCGUAGAUAUCAAGAGGAACACCUGAGGUGAAGACGGGUUGCUGGGCUGACACUGACGCUGAGGCGCGAAAGCUAGGGUAGCAAACGGG
rnacentral:rRNA from 1 species